GACGAACGCUGGCGGCGUGCUUAACACAUGCAAGUCGAACGGACAGGCCCUGCUUUUGUGGGGUGCUCGAGUGGCGAACGGGUGAGUAACACGUGAGUAACCUGCCCUUGACUUUGGGAUAACUUCAGGAAACUGGGGCUAAUACCGGAUAGGAGCUCCUGCUGCAUGGGGGGGGUUGGAAAGUGUCGGCGGUUGGGGAUGGACUAGCGGCUUAUCAGCUGGUUGGUGGGGUAGUGGCUGACCAAGGCUUUGACGGGUAGCCGGCCUGAGAGGGUGACCGGCCACAUUGGGACUGAGAUACGGCCCAGACUCCUACGGGAGGCAGCAGUGGGGAAUAUGGCACAACGGGCGGAAGCCUGAUGUAGCAACCCCGCGUGCGGGAUGAUGGGUUUCGGGUGGUAAACCGCUUUCGCAGUUGACGAAGCGUGAGUGACGGUAAUGGGUAAAGAAGCACCGGCUAACUACGUG
rnacentral:rRNA from 1 species